ensembl:lncRNA
AUAUAUAUAUAUAUCAUUUGUGAUGGUCGUCAUCAGCAUCCAGCUCCAUCACCCUCUAAAAAUACACUUUAGAAAGAUUUAGAGAUUACUGUAUAAUGUAAAACAUUCCCAAAAAUUCAGCCAUCUUGAAACUUAACUUACCUGAACAUACUCUGUCUGCAUUUCUUUCGAAAGGCACAUGGUAUAGUGGUUUUAUAGAUACCUGGUGCCUUUCAGUAUGCGUGCAAUAUUUCGGCAAACUUAUGGAUCCCAGAUUGUUGAACAUGUCUUCAAGAUAUUGAAGAUAAGAUAUGUCCAAGAUAUGCUGGCAAAUUUCUGUAAGGCGAAUAUUAUUUCUGGCCCUAACCAAAUCGACCAGAGCCUGCUCUUGUUGGUCGGUUAGAAUUUUGCCUCUGCCUCCACUAUUUGGCCUGGUCACAAUUCUACAGGGAACAUUAGAGUAAGAAGACAGUUCACUGUCACAUCAACUAUUAUGCAAAACACAUUGGUAUGCAGUCAUUUGACAAUUGAGAGCAGCAUAAGGUUAAGUGCAUGCUGAUACCUUACUGGUUCUCAUUGUGGAAAGUUCUGAUUAUUGAGGCCAAUUAACUCUUAUAUAUAUAUACUCAUCAGUAACGAGUUGGCAGAAUUGGACAAGCAAUUACAAGGGCCUGCAUCUAUGCAGUGCAGUACUGUCAAUACUGUAAAUAGUCUGAAAAGGUGCUACAGUAUUUGGGACUAUAGACAGUGUCUGAUGAAGCAUGUAGAGGCUAAGCCAACGCUUUAAGCCACUGAGGCAUUUGGUCCGGAAACUUAAUUGACGCACCGCUGUUGCACCAUGACGGAUGAAUGAGAGUGCUGUAGCCUUUUUGUUACGUUGCAAACGAGUCCACUUAUUUGCCAACUUAUUCUUGUCAUACGUUUAACAUACAUCCACCCAGCGUGCGUAACAUAACACUACCCAGCGUGCGGUCAAAAACUGUUUUUUCUAUCCCGGCUUGAAACACCUGCCGAGCCCCCAAAGGUUCCUACCCUAUAUAGGCUGACCCGCCCAUCAAUCAGAUCCUGACACCCAUCAUAACGGCUCUUACAAAGCAUUAUGAUAAAAUAUUAGGCUACAUCCAUGGAUAUUGUAGUCUAAUUGGUUCAUGCUCCACGCUAUUUGGUGACAAUGAAUAUCUUUAUCUUGAAACUUUCAUGAUUUACUGUAAACAUGGAUGAUUGUUUGUUUCCAUACAACUAUGCAUUAAGAGUAAUGCAAAAGUUACUUAUCAUUUUGAGCAGUUGUAUAGUUAGAUCAUUAUAAGGUCAUAUAGUUGUAUGUCAGGGGGUGCGUGGGGGAGGCAGGACUCAAAUGCAGACUUCUUCGAAACAAAAGACUUUAAUAGUCAACAGGCAAAAGCAAAGGGGCAAAAACGCACACAGGAACCGUGGCAAAAAUACCGGCAGGGACCAAGAAACCUCCAGGAAGAUUGACAAGAAACCUCCAGGACGAAAGACAACGACACCACAAGUGACACAAGAGACACACGGCUUAAAUACACAAGGGAGGUGCAGGUGAUUGGACACAGGUGGAAACUAUUAGACGAUCACAGGGGAUGACGGGACAAGGCAGGAAGUGAAGUUACCCGGGGACACGAGUGGCAGAAAACUACAAAAUACAACAGGAAGUGAACCACACCGUGACACUCUCACUCUCUCCUUCUACAAUAAUCCACAGUUUAUUAAUGCCCAUCACAAAUUCAGCUUCUUUCCUAGAGUUUUUUUAUGCUUUCUCGCCUCGCAGGUCUCCGUAGAUCGUAGUUCCGUCUGGACCCUGGUCCUGACUCCUGCCUGGCCCCGUGGACACCUAGCGCUUCUAACACCAUAGAUAUUUCCAUUUCUAUUGCUGUAAACAUUAAAGCCCAGCACCAACUUUGUUUUUUCCACAGAGUAUUUGUGCUUUCUCGACACACAAAUUUUCAUGGAUCAUA